UAGGGAAUCUUCGGCAAUGGACGAAAGUCUGACCGAGCAACGCCGCGUGAGUGAAGAAGGUCUUCGGAUCGUAAAACUCUGUUGUUAGAGAAGAACAAGGACGUUAGUAACUGAACGUCCCCUGACGGUAUCUAACCAGAAAGCCACGGCUAACUACGUGCCAGCAGCCGCGGUAAUACGUAGGUGGCAAGCGUUGUCCGGAUUUAUUGGGCGUAAAGCGAGCGCAGGCGGUUUCUUAAGUCUGAUGUGAAAGCCCCCGGCUCAACCGGGGAGGGUCAUUGGAAACUGGGAGACUUGAGUGCAGAAGAGGAGAGUGGAAUUCCAUGUGUAGCGGUGAAAUGCGUAGAUAUAUGGAGGAACACCAGUGGCGAAGGCGGCUCUCUGGUCUGUAACUGACGAUGAGGCUCGAAAGCGUGGGGAGCAAACAGG
rnacentral:rRNA from 1 species